UUUGAUUCUCGGCCUUUCGGCUAAGAUCAAGUGUAGAAUCUGUUCUUAUCAGUCAUUGACUUCUUAAAUAUGUUUUUAUUAUCAUUAUCCAUCUGCUAUUCAAUUUUAAAGAAUUCUGAAUUCAAAGAAUCCCUCGAAAGGACUAGUCAUAGACAAAACCUGCCCUAGGUGCCGUGGGCUGAUUCAAUGGGGA
ensembl:snRNA U2 U2 spliceosomal RNA